rnacentral:rRNA from 1 species
AGUGAACGCUGGCGGUAGGCCUAACACAUGCAAGUCGAACGGCAGCACAGUAAGAGCUUGCUCUUACGGGUGGCGAGUGGCGGACGGGUGAGGAAUACAUCGGAAUCUACUUUUUCGUGGGGGAUAACGUAGGGAAACUUACGCUAAUACCGCAUACGACCUACGGGUAAAAGCAGGGGAUCUUCGGACCUUGCGCGAUUGAAUGAGCCGAUGUCGGAUUAGCUAGUUGGCGGGGUAAAGGCCCACCAAGGCGACGAUCCGUAGCUGGUCUGAGAGGAUGACAAGCCAACAGGGAAAUGAAAAAGGGGCAAAAACCCAAGGGGGGGGAGCAGGGGGGAAAAUUGGAAAAGGGGGGAAAGCCGAACCCGGCAAUACGGGGGGGGGAAAGAAGGACUGGGGGUUGUAAAGCCUUUUUGUUGGGAAAAAAAAGCAGCAGGUUAAAACCCCGCUGUUUUGACGGAACCAAAAAAAAAAGCACCGGCUAAUUUGGG